UGAAGUUUAGCGUUCGAUCCGAGACUCAAGUCGCAUGUUCUCCAAACUACGUAGGAGGCCGGCGGAGAGGAGUUCGAGGAAUCACGAGCCUUGGUGCCUAUAUUAUUUUACUCGUAUUUUCUACGCAACGUUUUAUCGAAAAACUAAUCACAUAGUAUAAUCUUAUUUUGUACUCUGAUUGGAACCCAGUCUAUUAAACGGGGGUUAUCUUAAAUAAAGUUUAUUUCCUUCCGCUGUCUUA